AUGGAGAGGAGCCUGGGAGCUGUGCUGGGGCUGCUGUGGGUGCAGGUUUGCUGGGUGAGAGGGAUGCAGGUGGAACAGAAUCCUCCAGCCCUCAGUUUCCAGGAGGGAGCCGGCUCUUCUCUGACAUGCAAUUUUUCUACAACCAUGACAACUGUGCAGUGGUUCCGGCAGAAUCCCGGCAGCAGCCUCCUCAGGCUAUUCUUCAUGACUCCAGGAACAAAGGAGAAUGGGAGGUUAAAGUCAACAUUCAACUCCAAGGAGCGCUACAGCACCCUGCACAUCAAGGAUGCCCACCUGGAGGACUCAGGCACCUACCUCUGUGCUGCUGAGGCACAGUGCUCCCAGCAAGCCUGAAGCCUGACCCCAAACUGCAGCUGGGUGUGCAGCUACAGCCCUGCCACAGGCAGACUCUGCAGGAGGCUUUGCACAGCUGUGGGGUUUCCAAUUUAUGCUGUUUCUCUGUCCUCUCCACUAACCUAGACAGUUCAGGAUUGCUGUUUCCCACCAGUGCACCCUUUCCUCACAGAUUCCCGUUUUCAGGAAGAAGUUCUCAUGAAGAGUACUGGGACAACUGACAAAGAUGACAAGGUUCACAGUGCUGUCAGGUAGACCCACUGCACAGUGUUCACUGCUCUUCAAUCAUUGCUCUACAAAGGCAUCACACAGAUGUGCUCUCCAGCAAACAGAAAAGAGAUUAUUCAGUGUUUCAGUCAAUUGCAUAUCUUUCCAUUAUCAGAAGAAUGGGACUUUUAUUAGGUCUUUUGAGAAUUUCAUGCAAUGGACUUUGAUCAUAUUCAGUUCUCCACCAAUUCCUACCAGUCCCACCUCUCCUCUUUACUUUCCAGCUUUUCUCUCUUUGUUUCUGGGAAAAGACAAUACUUUCAAUUACGGUUUGUGCUGUCCAUACCUUUUGAAUGUGUUGCCUUCCCUGGAGUGUGGUUGACCUCCUGGGGCCAUAACCUUAAAGAAAAAAGAUUCUCACUGUUCCAUUUGCUAUCCAAUGUCGUUAUAUCCUUAGUUAAGAAUGAGACUUUGUACUCAUACCCCACGCUAGAAUUUUGGGUAUCUUGGGUUUGUGUAGGUUUGUGUGUUCUAUUCCAACGGCUUUGAGUUCAUAUAAAUUAAUUCUCCUUAUAAUUGAAAAUUCAAUGAUAAAAUGCAUCAGUAAGCAUUGUCAUGUACAUCCAGAAUAUAUGGGUUUGAAUGAAAAUUGCCCCCAUAGGCCCAUACAAUUGUAUGCUUUGUCCUCAGUUGAAGAACUGUUUGGAAAGCAUUAGGAGGUGUGGUCUUGUUGGAGGAAGUGUUGGAGGAGGUGUGUCACUGGAAGUGGCUUGGGGUUAAAAAGUCCACACCAGACCCAGUGUCUCUUUUUCUGCCUGUGGCCUACUGAUCAGGAUCGAAAAUUUCUCAGCUAUUUCUUCAGGACCAUUGCAGCCUGCUGUCAUGCUCCCAGCCAUGAUGAUAAUGGACUACCACUCUGAAACUUUAAGUAAGCCCC